rnacentral:lncRNA from 1 species
CUGAGAGAAGUACAUGUUACACAAGUUAAGGGUUUAAUUUUAGUCUCUAAUUUGAGUUUAGCCUAGAUAAUUAACUUAUUGAUGUCGUACUGAUCCUUGUGUUUGUAUGAUUAUAGAGACCGUACUGAAGUAUUUGUGCCGCCUGAUAUUUGGAACUACACACCAAUCUCUCUAGCUGACCUACCUACCUAUUUGCAAAUAAAUCUGUUUGGUCAAAAUCCACGCUAGCCGAAGAAACUGAGAUGCUUACUUAUG